CGUAGGUGGCAAGCGUUGUCCGGAUUUAUUGGGUUUAAAGGGUGCGUAGGUGGCCCUGUAAGUCAGUGGUGAAAUAUCUCAGCUUAACUGAGAGGGUGCCAUUGAUACUGCAGGGCUUGAGUACAGAUGAGGUAGGCGGAAUUGACGGUGUAGCGGUGAAAUGCAUAGAUAUCGUCAAGAACACCGAUAGCGAAGGCAGCUUACCAAGCUGUAACUGACACUGAGGCACGAAAGUGUGGGGAUCAAACAGGAUUAGAUACCCUGGUAGUCUACACUGUAAACGUUGAUGACUCGAUGUUGGCGAUACACAGCCAGCGUCCAAGAGCAAUCGUUAAGUCAUCCACCUGGGGAGUACGCCGGCAACGGUG
rnacentral:rRNA from 1 species